AUUGAACGCUGGCGGCAGGCCUAACACAUGCACGUCGAACGAGUGGCGGACGGGUGAGUAAUGUCUGGGAAACUGCCUGAUGGAGGGGGAUAACUACUGGAAACGGUAGCUAAUACCGCAUACCAUCGGAUGUGCCCAGAUGGGAUUAGCUUGUUGGUGGGGUAAAGGCUCACCAAGGCGACGAUCCCUAGCUGGUCUGAGCGGAUGACCAGCCACACUGGGACUGAGAAACGGUCCAGACUCCUACGGGAGGCAGCAGUGGGGAAUAUUGCACAAUGGGCGGAAGCCUGAUGCAGCCAUGCCGCGUGUAUGAAGAAGGCCUUCGGGUUGUAAAGUACUUUCAGCGGGGAGGCGUUACCCGCAGAAGAAGCACCGGCUAACUCCGUGCCAGCAGCCGCGGUAAUAC
rnacentral:rRNA from 1 species